CGAGACCUCAGGUCAGGCGGGACUACCCGCUGAGUUUAAGCAUAUCAAUAAGCGGAGGAAAAGAAACUAACAAGGAUUCCCCUAGUAACGGCGAGCGAACCG
rnacentral:rRNA from 5 species